rnacentral:rRNA from 1 species
GUAGUCCACGCAGUAAACGAUGCUCACUCGCUGUUUGCGAUAUAAAGUAAGCGGCCAAGCGAAAGCGAUAAGUGAGCCACCUGGGGAGUACGCCGGCAACGGUGAAACUCAAAGGAAUUGACGGGGGCCCGCACAAGCGGAGGAACAUGUGGUUUAAUUCGAUGAUACGCGAGGAACCUUACCUGGGCUUAAAUGGGAGCAGACGCAGGUUGAAAGACUUGUUUCUACGGACUGCUUUCAAGGUGCUGCAUGGUUGUCGUCAGCUCGUGCCGUGAGGUGUCGGGUUAAGUCCCAUAACGAGCGCAACCCUUACCGUUAGUUACCAUCAGGUAAAGCUGGGGACUCUAGCGGGACUGCCACCGUAAGGUGAGAGGAAGGCGGGGAUGACGUCAAAUCAGCACGGCCCUUAUGUCCAGGGCUACACACGUGUUACAAUGGCCGGUACAGAGGGCAGCGACAACGCAAGUUGGAGCGAAUCCCGAAAGCCGGUUCCAGUUCGGAUCGAAGUCUGCAACCCGACUUCGUGAAGCUGGAUUCGCUAGUAAUCGCGCAUCAGCCAUGGCGCGGUGAAUACGUUCCCGGGCCUUGUACACACCGCCCGUCAAACCAUGGAAGCUGGGGGUACCUGAAGACUGUCACCGAGAGGAACGGUUUAGGGUAAAACCAGUAACUGGGGUU